UACGUAGGCAGCGAGCGUUGUUCGGAGUUACUGGGCGUAAAGCGUGCGUAGGCGGUGUCUUAAGUUUGUUGUGAAAUCUCCCGGCUUAACCGGGAGGGUGCGGCGAAUACUGAGAUGCUGGAGUGCCGGAGAGGUAAGCGGAAUUCCUGGUGUAGCGGUGAAAUGCGUAGAUAUCAGGAGGAACACCUGCGGUGUAGACGGCUUACUGGACGGUAACUGACGGCUGAGGCACGAAAGCGUGGGUAGCAAACAGG
rnacentral:rRNA from 1 species